AACGAACGCUGGCGGCGUGGAUAAGACAUGCAAGUCGAGCGCUUAUUUCCUGAUAGCAAUAUUAGGGAGUAGGAGCGGCGCAAGGGUGCGUAACACGUGGAUCAUCUGCCUGGAAGUUCGGAAUAAUCCCGAGAAAUCGGGACUAAUGCCGGAUGUGGUUGAGAGACUAAAGCUGGGGACCGCAAGGCCUGGCGCUUCCAGAUGAGUCCGCGGCCUANCAGCUAGUUGGCGGGGUAACGGCCCACCAAGGCUAAGACGGGUAGCUGGUCUGAGAGGACGACCAGCCACACUGGAACUGAGACACGGUCCAGACACCUACGGGUGGCAGCAGUCGAGAAUUUUUCUCAAUGGGGGAAACCCUGAAGGAGCGACGCCGCGUGGGGGAUGAAGGGCUUCGGCCCGU
rnacentral:rRNA from 1 species